UAAAUAAACAACCCAAUAUGAUAAAAUUAACUUUGUCAAAUUAAACUUCAAACAUCAACAUUCAUGUAUACCCAUGACCCUAGAACAAUAGGUUUCUUAGCCACUCAUGUUCAUACAAUCAUCAAAAAUUAUGUUUUCAAACAUAAAAUCAAUGAAUGUUAGGAAAGGGAUGGAAGAAUUGAUCAAAUCCUUGCUUUUUGAGUGUUUUGCGCCUCCUCCUCCUUUAAAUCACGUUCUCCCCUCUUAAAAUAGGUUUAGGUUGGCUUUUAUAUAAGUUGGGGGCGUCUAGGGGUCGAAAUAACCGAGUCCUAGUCGAAAAAAGACACUUUCCGUCUUGAGCAUCCUGGGCAGCGUGGGGCGCUGGCCCUGGCGCUCAAACAUUUUGGAUUCUGGAAAUUGCGCCACAGCCAGCGCACUUUUUGCGUUUUUGUCCCGAUUUCGCUCCAAUUCGCGCCCUUUCGUCCCAAAUUGCAUUCGAAUGAGUCCUACACAUAGAAAUACCAACAUUUAGCACAAAUAAUCAUAUUAAACAUCUCAAAUCGUCGAGACAUGAGUAAAAUGUGAGGUUAUAUAUAUCAAAAUAUGCAUACAUUAAGCCGAUUAUCACUCGUCUAUGAAACUAUCUUUCCGUUUUGCAUCUAAUGCUGCUGAUCACAAUUAAAGAUAUGCAAGGAGAUCUUUACGUGUUAUUCUUGGAGUGAAAGAAUCUGUAUUUAUCUUAAUUUUUACUUGUUGCAUGCAUUUGGCCGAUAUUUUACUAGUUAGUGAUUAAUGACUAGAAGUUAGUAAGUUUGGGGUUAUUUUAGACAUUGACGUAACAUUCUCAAAAAUAUUUCGCUAGAUCCAUAUAUCAUCUAUUAAAAUUUUCGCACAUUUAAGAGGAAAAAUAUUUAAUAGCUUUAAUCAUUUGGGUAAAAUUGCUCUCUAUCUCUCAUUAUAUGUCUCAGUUAAUUUAAUUAAUGAACACUCAGCCAAUUGAAACAAUAAAAAUACUGAAACAUGACAUAACUAAAUAUAGAAACUAAUUCCAUGAUAAACAAACAAUAGGACAUAUUUUGAUUUAUUUAUUACAUAUAAAGUUUUUCUUUUUUCUUUGUUGAAUUUGAAUAAUUGGCAAAAAUGGAGCAAAAGAAAAUUUUAAAUAAUACCUUUUAGGGGCUUAUAAAGGUUGGUUUUGAUUUUUGAAUAGUGAACGACAAGGAUCACAAUAAACCAUUCCUUCUACAAAGAAUUCAGGUUUUUCAUCAGAAGCUUGAGUAAGCAAAUGAAAAUAACAACUGAUUUUCCCAUUUUCUUUCCUUUUUUAAAAAUUUUUUUAAUCUCUUUUUUUGUUUGGACUUUCGUUAUUUCUUUCUCUAGGUUACAAUGUUGAAGGGAUGCAUUAUAU
rnacentral:lncRNA from 1 species